rnacentral:rRNA from 1 species
CAGCCGCCGCGGUAAUACAGAGGGUGCAAGCGUUAAUCGGAAUUACUGGGCGUAAAGCGCGCGUAGGUGGUUUGUUAAGUUGGAUGUGAAAUCCCCGGGCUCAACCUGGGAACUGCAUCCAAAACUGGCAGGCUAGAGUAGGGCAGAGGGUGGUGGAAUUUCCUGUGUAGCGGUGAAAUGCGUAGAUAUAGGAAGGAACACCAGUGGCGAAGGCGACCACCUGGGCUCAUACUGACACUGAGGUGCGAAAGCGUGGGGAGCAAACAGGAUUAGAUACCCCCGUAGUCCCUGUCUCUUAUAA